AUUUGCUGUGCCCUCAUAGUCAAGAAGAGUGCCAAGCCCACAGUAGGACCUGUGUGAAUAUAAUUUAAACUUCUGAGUGACUUAUAGAAAAAUGCAGAUCUACAAACAAUACGUGAUUCCUGCAUGUUCCUCAUUAUGGAUAGAUGAGAGAAGACAUCUCCACGUUCUGGGGCGCAAGGCUCACUCCCUGCAUUUGCAUACCCAGUCAUUUGUAAACGGAGAGAAACACAUCCCCGCAUUUGCCCAGAGGUAGCUGUUUACUCAGAAAGGUGACUUGUGACAUUGACAAUCAUGUCAGUUUCCCAUCUGCAUAAUUUAAGGUGGAAUAUUAAGAAUUUUCCAGCGUGUCCCUGGCUGCCUUACCCUAUCCCAAAGAUGUCUAUGCUAAGAAGCCAAAAUAAAGAGAUGUCAUGUAGACCAUUA